rnacentral:misc_RNA from 1 species
GUGUGUAUAAGCGUUGGAUCCACAAUCUUUCGAAUCUGAAUUGGCAUGGCAUUUUUUGCAUAAUUGUGAAUAUUGAGACCUUCCUCAAAAAUGUUAUCAGCAGGCAUCUUCCCUGUUAUCAUCUCCAGCAAUAGGAUCCCAUAGCUGUAGAUAUCUCCGUAAGUUGAAACCUCAUUCCCAAGGCCAUACUCUGGAGCAGCAUAUCCUAUAGUUCCUCUUAUUCCGAUAGAGCUGUUUUGAUUUAAACUUGUAAUUUCAGGAUAAAACCUUGCCAACCCAAAAUCUCCGACAUGGGCAGUC